UGCUAACUGGUCUUCCAUGGAGGCAC
rnacentral:piRNA from 1 species